GGGUAUAGCUCAAGUGUUAGAGCACAUACUUAACAUGCAUGAGAUCCUGGGUUCAACCCCUGGUACUUCCU
rnacentral:tRNA from 1 species